AACGGGUGAGUAAUACAUCGGAACGUGCCUAGUAGUGGGGGAUAACUACUCGAAAGAGUGGCUAAUACCGCAUGAGAUCUACGGAUGAAAGCAGGGGAUCGCAAGACCUUGUGCUACUAGAGCGGCCGAUGGCAGAUUAGUAGUUGGUGGGAUAAAAGCUUACCAAGCCGACGAUCUGUAGCUGGUCUGAGAGGACGAUCAGCCACACUGGGACUGAGACACGGCCCAGACUCCUACGGGAGGCAGCAGUGGGGAAUUUUGGACAAUGGGCGCAAGCCUGAUCCAGCAAUGCCGCGUGCAGGAUGAAGGCCUUCGGGUUGUAAACUGCUUUUGUACGGAACGAAAAGCCCUGGGUUAAUACCCUGGGGUCAUGACGGUACCGUAAGAAUAAGCACCGGCUAACUACGUGCCAGCAGCCGCGGUAAUACGUAGGGUGCGAGCGUUAAUCGGAAUUACUGGGCGUAAAGCGUGCGCAGGCGGUUUUGUAAGACAGAGGUGAAAUCCCCGGGGCUCAACCUGGGAACUGCCUUUGUGACUGCAAGGCUAGAGUACGGCAGAGGGGGAUGGAAUUCCGCGUGUAGCAGUGAAAUGCGUAGAUAUGCGGAGACACCGAUGCGAAGCAUCCCUGGGCCUGUACUGACGCUCAUGCACGAAAGCGUGGGGAGCAAACAGGAUUAGAUACCUGGUAGUCCACGCCCUAAACGAUGUC
rnacentral:rRNA from 1 species